UACGUAGGGACCAAGCGUUGUUCGGAUUUACUGGGCGUAAAGGGCGCGUAGGCGGCGUGGUAAGUCACUUGUGAAAUCUCCGAGCUUAACUCGGAACGGUCAAGUGAUACUGCUGUGCUAGAGUGCAGAAAGGGCAAUCGGAAUUCUUGGUGUAGCGGUGAAAUGCGUAGAUAUCAAGAGGAACACCUGAGGCGAAGGCGGGUUGCUAGGCUGACACUGACGCUGAGGAGCGAAAGCCAGGGGAGCAAACGGG
rnacentral:rRNA from 1 species